UCAAUAAGUUCAAGCUUCUGUUGCUAGGGCUGUUACUAAAACUUGAAACAUUUUGACCGGAUUACGUAAUGAACCAAGUGUCCACUGCUAUGCUGGUUGCUUGGCUCUAUUUUACCUCGUAGUGGUCGCGAAGGAAGGAGGAUCCGGGCAGUUCUAGUUCUAUUUCACUGCAUAAACGCUCGCUCAGUCCAAACAAAAUUAUUAGCUCAGAAUAGUUCUCCAAGGAUGGUGUUUUUGACAGUGACAACCUGCUGACUACCUGCUGCUUCAGAGGACUGAAACGACUGGAAAGAAAACACUUUGUUUACCAUGCAAAGUACGAUGAAGACAGCACUGAUCUCGACAAGAGGCGCAACAUGCAGAGAAAUUCACAGUUCAGGGCAAUCAUAUCUACCUACGGGGGAAGGAUGGCCAGCCACACGGGAGGGUGAUUUUUACUGAGGAGGAGAAGGAGGCUACUCUGGCUGUGCUGACCGAGAUGCGUGGUGGCCAUUUCAGAGUGAAGCGCAUGAUUGCCAAAAUCAACCUACGCUUCUUCUGAUGGGGAAUUGUCAAGGAGGUGGACAGCUGGGCAAGUGAAAUAACCU